rnacentral:rRNA from 1 species
UGGGAAUAUUGCACAAUGGGGAACCCGUGAUGCAGCGACGCCGCGUGGAGGAAGAAGGUCUUCGGAUUGUAAACUCCUGUUGUUGAGGAAAAGAAGGAUGGUACUCAACAAGGAAGUGACGGCUAACUACGUGCCAGCAGCCGCGGUAAACGUAGGUCACAAGCGUUGUCCGGAAUUACUGGGUGUAAAGGGAGCGCAGGCGGGUAUGCAAGUUGGGAGUGAAAUACAUGGGCUCAACCCAUGAACUGCUCUCAAAACUGUGUAUCUUGAGUAGUGCAGAGGUAGGCGGAAUUCCCGGUGUAGCGGUGGAAUGCGUAGAUAUCGGGAGGAACACCAGUGGCGAAGGCGGCCUACUGGGCACCAACUGACGCUGAGGCUCGAAAGUGUGGGUAGC